rnacentral:rRNA from 1 species
UACACUCCUACGGGAGGCAGCAGUGGUGAAUAUUGGACAAUGGGCGCAAGCCUGAUCCAGCCAUGCCGCGUGAGUGAUGAAGGCCCUAGGGUUGUAAAGCUCUUUCACCGGUGAAGAUAAUGACGGUAACCGGAGAAGAAGCCCCGGCUAACUUCGUGCCAGCAGCCGCGGUAAUACGAAGGGGGCUAGCGUUGUUCGGAUUUACUGGGCGUAAAGCGCACGUAGGCGGACUAUUAAGUCAGGGGUGAAAUCCCGGGGCUCAACCCCGGAACUGCCUUUGAUACUGGUAGUCUUGAGGUCGAGAGAGGUGAGUGGAAUUCCGAGUGUAGAGGUGAAAUUCGUAGAUAUUCGGAGGAACACCAGUGGCGAAGGCGGCUCACUGGCUCGAUACUGACGCUGAGGUGCGAAAGCGUGGGGAGCAAACAGGAUUAGAAACCCGUGUAGUCCCA